rnacentral:rRNA from 1 species
UACGUAGGGUCCAAGCGUUAUCCGGAAUUACUGGGCGUAAAGAGUUGCGUAGGUGGCAGAGUAAGUUGGUAGUGAAAGCGUACGGCUCAACCGUAUACCCAUUACUAAAACUGCUCAGCUAGAGGACGAGAGAGGUUAUUGGAAUUCCUAGUGUAGGAGUGAAAUCCGUAGAUAUUAGGAGGAACACCGAUGGCGUAGGCAGAUAACUGGCUCGUUCCUGACACUAAGGCACGAAAGCGUGGGGAGCAAACGGG